CCCAGAACUGAGCCUCUACUUUGGUCUAUCCUCUUUGGUUACAGGGGGCUGGCCUCGACAAAUCUGGUUUCACGUCACUAUGUUUUUGUUGUUAUUUUGAUUAGUCUGCAUUUGACAGCCGAAAAAUCUGACCUCAAGCCCCCGGUCGGGCUCUAGAAAUCUACCUCUAGCUCUACUAAGCAUGGCGAUUGUUGGCCAACCAUCCGUGUUUUUUCGUCUCGCUUGUUUCAAUACUUGGAGAAGUGGUGUCUCGAAUCUCACAAGUUAUAAUGUGCGAGCAAGAAAUCAUCAUCAUGAAGCUCCUACCAGUGAAAAUAAUAAAGAUGUUGUCAUAGUUGGAGGUGGAAUGGUUGGAACCGCUCUAGCAGUUGCUUUAGCGAAAAAUCGGUGUUUUGAAGGGAAGAAAAUUGUUCUUGUUGAGGGAAGUGGAAAACUCAAGUAUGUUCAGAAGGAGAAUUAUUCUAAUCGAGUCGUAGCAUUGAAUAAACAAACACGAACUCUUUUAUCGAGUAUUGGUGUGUGGAAGCAUAUUGAUGCUGCUCGUUUCACUCCAGUUCGCAAAAUGCAGGUGUGGGAUGCGACCUCCGAUGCUAUGAUAACUUUCAAUGAAGAUUAUCUAGCCGAUGAGAUCGCUUACAUCGUUGAGAACGACAUUCUUCUCCAUGCUCUAGAUCAAGAGCUCGAGGAUAAAUCAAACCUCAAUGUUAUCUAUAACGCCAAGGUUGAAGAUAUCUGUCUCCCAUCCCAACGAGGGGAGAAUGCGAAAGUAAAACUUCAGAGUGGAGAAGAACUCUCCGCAAAAUUACUGGUGGGGGCUGAUGGCGCAAAUUCUCGCGUAAGACAGGCGAUGGGAAUUCAGUACAUCUCCUGGGAUUACGAACAAAUGGGGAUUGUUGCUACACUCAAACUAUCAGAGGCAACAACAAAUGUAGUCGCCUGGCAGCGGUUCCUUCCAACCGGCCCCAUAGCAUUACUCCCUCUCUCAGAGAAUCAAAGUUCUCUCGUCUGGUCUCUCCCCAGUAACAAAGCCAAAGAACUCCUGAAAGAACCUGCGGAGGCCUUCGUCGAUGCCAUAAAUGAUGCAUUAUGGAAAGUCUACCCAAAAAAUAGUGUAGUGGAGGGUGGAAUGACUGCUCUCCAGCAGCUACUUAAUCGAUUAUCACUGCAAGCUGGACAUUCUCAUCAGUUGCCACCUUCAGUCACCGAAAUUGUUGAAGGAUCACGAGCCGCUUUUCCUCUGGCGUUUGGACACGCCGUUAAUUAUACAACUCAUGGAGUCGUAUUAGUGGGGGAUGCAGCCCACAGAGUUCAUCCCUUGGCAGGACAGGGUGUAAAUCUCGGUUUUGGGGACGUCACUGCUCUUGUGAAGAUAUUAGAUGAUGCAGUACGCAAUGGCACUUUCAUUGGAGAUAUCUCACAUCUGGCGAGAUAUGAAACUCUGCGGCAGAGACACAAUUUACCGACGAUGAUGGUCAUUGACACACUUCACAGAUUGUAUAAAGGAACAGCUGCUCCAGUUGUACUUGCGAGAGGUUUAGGACUACAAUUAUUGAAUAGUCUGGCGCCAUUGAAGAGAUGUAUGGUGGAUUAUGCAUCAGAGGUUCCAGUCAGCCAAUAGCAGUACCAAGUAUUUUAAUUUUUGUUCGAAUAUAAAAUAAUAAAGAUGUCGCCGCGAAUAAUCUGCAAAUAUUUAUGACUCUUGGGAUGGCGGGGGGGGGGGGGUGUUUCUUUCGCCAAGAAUACAGUGGAAAGACGAGUAAAUUUAACCCUUUUAGUGCCGGGAGCCGAUAUAUCGGCUCCAGCUGUACUUGCGAAAUAGGCACCUCUACAUAUUUGGGCCGGCAUUAAAAGGGUGAAACCUAUCAAUUUUCUUCUAUCAAUAACUUGCAGUACUUCAAUGUACCACUUAAUACGGAUAAAUCCAACAUGACGAUUAUAUAAAAUGAAUAUUAACAUAAUUACAUUUAACGUGACUCAACUCUAACGAGUCAAAUAAUCUCAUCUGCAAUCAUUCGAUGCUCUCAAAUCAAAGGAAUACGAUUAUGUGACCGAUAAUGAGCUUCUUAAAAAAACUAAUUUCCUAAAAAACUUGAAAUAUUUCGGUCCUGAUGUCACUGGUAGGUAAAUAUCGUUAAUUCUACGGAAUAUAUUUGGUUGGGGAUAUGUUCUUUCAUAUGAAAAUUGAAUUCCAUUCUAUCAAAGUUUGAAAUACUCACUUCAUCAGUGAGUUCUCUAUAGAGAAAAUGAAAAUUUAAAUGAAAAAUAGGAAUUCUUUCACAUUACGUCCACUUACAAUAUAAUUUAAUCAUACGUAGUCCGAAAAGCCAAUGAUAUAUUUGCACGAACUCUUGACAGUUACAAAUUUUAACUUUUUCCCCCUAAAUUCCCAUAAUGACCGAUUAUCUAUCAACAGUGAAUACGUUAUUAUUCUUUUAAAUGAUCAAGAAUCCAAUCAGUGUAAUAGGCAACUCUUGUGUACACUGAAGGAUAUCCAGGUGUUUUGCAAUUUCUAGUUCCAAAACUUACGAUUCCAUACUGUACAAACUUUAUACUAGUCCUAUUAUAGAUUGCAGGAGCCUGAAGAGGGCCACCACUGUCUCCAAGACAAGAAAAUUGAUGGCCUUGAGCGCACAGCUGCUUGUACCAUAUUUUCGUGUUUUUUUCAUACGCCUUCGUACAUUGCUCAUUAGACACUGCAGUAAGUUUAGCCUGCAGUAGAUCCGGACUUCUGGUGCCAGUUUCUGUGUCUCCCCAUCCUGUCACGAUGAAUUUCGUAUGAUGAUAUGUGGCUGUAUCACCAAUGGGCAGGCAAAUUGGUCGUACAUUUAUUGGUGUCAAAUCUAUGGGUGAAUCAACUCUUAUCAAUCCUAUGUCGUUCUGCGAUACAGAUUCGGUAUAUUCUGAGUGGAAAUGAAUCUCCUCAAUGCCGAAUUCUUGAUAAGGAUCUGCGCAGGUCAUUUCCAGACUGUCAGGACUUUUGUUACAAUCUAUCUCAGUUCUUUGAUCGUGUUCUCCAACACGGACACCUAUCAGCGUUAGAGCUAGUGGAGAAAAGGGAAAGUUAAAGGAAGAAUCAGAACCACGAUCGAUGAAAUUAUUCAAUAAGUAAUUCGUUAUAGGUACAUCUUGUAACGAAUUACAUUAAAAUAUAAAGAUCGAAAUAUAUAUUUAACACUAGUCGUUUGACUGAGGAUUAUUUAUAUUUUAAACAAUUUAUCUGGAGCCAAAAAUGAACGGAUCCUCGAGGACUGUCAAUACGUCAAUUUUAGUGAAAAAAAAAAAAAAAAUCAAGAGAAAUUAUAUGUUCAACUUCAAAAUUCUCUCAUUAUCCUCAAUUCUUGGGAUUGCAAAUAUUAAUGAGGUCUCCGAAAAUUCUGCAUUUAAUAUUUUAUGAUGAUUAUACCCACCUCUAGGAAGCUGUGUGACGCAAUGUGCAGCCGUCAAAAUAUAGCGAUUAUUAAUGACGGUACCACCACAUCGAAAUUCUAUGUAAUUAUUGUACACCUUGUAAGCAAUGAGGGCCAUCCAGGGGUAAUCAAAGACUCCAGUUUUGUCACCGCCUAUUAUUUUUUCCUCGGUGACUGGACCACAAAUAUUUUGAUCUAGAAGCCGGAGAUUUCGAUGGGUCGUCACAUCCGGCAGUGGAUCGGGAGGAUCUUGGCGAGGGGCUGAAAUGGUUGCUGCAGUUGUUACAGGCAUUACAGGCGUUACAGGCGUUGUUCCAGAAGACGAUUCUGGUGAAUUCAGCAAACUCAUCUAUUUAAUAACGAUUCUAUCAAUAUUUUUUGUAUUAAAUAAUUCAGCGUAAUUCAAAUUUUAGAUUGGGAUCUUUGCUUUUCAAUGAGUUUGUUAUCGAAUCAGUCUAGAAUAUUUUUCUUUACCUGCGAAGGACAACAGACUUUAAACUCUCGGACUGGAAUGCCGUCAAGUCCGCAACGAGAUUUUCUCAGCAUGUCCACAUCCUCCUUAGUCGGAUGUUUAGGUGAGUUGAAAGAAUGCAUCAACACAUGACAUCUUUUAAUGUUGAUACAAGUCCCAGGUUUUCCAUUGGGAGUGGUACAAUCACUUCCUCCAUUAGACAAUAUCGCUGUACCGUCUUCGAGGUCUGAUUUCGAGAAAUGAAAUGCGAACAUGAAAAAAUAUUUAAAUUAAUUUAAAUGAUAAAAAUACGUUUCACUGCUUUAUAAUUGAAUCAAUUUUUUAUUAUUAAAUGAGCAGGAGUUCGUUUCGAUUUUCAUUUCGAUAGUUUUCCCUCGAACAUAGAGCCACGAUAACACUCGCAUUUACCAACUAUUAGCACAACAGCGCUGAAAAUCAAUCUCGUUAUGGAAUGCGAACAUCAUAAAAAAAACGGAGUUAUGAUGUUAUCCUUGUUAUGUGACCGCACGCGGAUCGCAUCGUUAUUGUUACAGUAAAUAUUAACAAUCGAUAAUAUUUAUGUUGUGGGAAAGUAUCUUCUGCUGUAGGUUUCCCCUCAAUACUUCAAAAUGAAAACUCUUCGAUAAUUAUUUAUAUGAAAACGGCUAAAUUUUCCCUUUCUUUAUUUUUUUUUAAAUGUAAUGAUUAUUACACUUGACCUGUGACGAGUAUCACAGGAAUUCUUUUGGAAAAUUUGAUUGUGCUCUCCUUUAACUGCGGAGACUAACAGAAAUUUGUUAUUUGCAAAUUACUGCCUACAAAACUGAUUCGUAAAUAUACUGAAUCAAAAUAUAUAUCGAGAGCCCAUUUUAUUGAAUUGAGAUGUAAAAAAUAAACAGUAAAAGAGUCAUUCAUAUCUGUUUUUUAUCGGUAAUACAACUCUCCUUUUAAUUGUAAUCAUCAGUUCAUAUGAACAGAUAGGAACACGGAGACAACUUACUGAAAUCCUCACUUUAAUAUCGCGUAAUAUUUAAAACUCAUUGUUAUUUUUGUUUAGUGAAAUGAUGAAAGUCACCUGCACUUAUUUUUGCUGCAUUUAUCACCACAAGUCCCACAAUCACAGGAAGAAUCAUUUCCAAUAGAAAAUUUCGUGUCAGAUGAGAUGAAAAGGUGAACGUCAUUCACAUGGAUUAUUGACCGAUAGUAGAGUGUACAAAUGAUCAAAAACGGUCUCUCACUAUCAUGUCUUUGUCAUUUAACCGAUGCGUCUGGUUCUAUCUUUUGGUAGUUACUGUGGGAGUAAAGACAUAUAUUUAAAGUCACUGGGCUUUGCUGAUGAGAAACUGUCCCAUUUACCUUAUCAUCGACUGCAAAAAAGGGGCCCAAUGCACUGCCUUACAUCUGCGCCAGCAAUUGCCUUCAAUUCACGAUGAAGCAUUCACUUUCGAUGUUCGUUUAACGAUUUUUCGAAAACUGUUUUGGAACAUGCUAUUCAAUGCAUCAUCACGUGAUAAAAAAUGAACUUACAUCACUGGAACAGCACACUUUCGCCUCCAGACGUUCAUACCCACAAUUGGCUCUCUUCAAUCUGUCCAAAUCCUCAUUUGUUGGAGGUCCAGUUUGUCUCAGGAUACCUGCCAGCUCUCCACAAUGACUAAUUUUUAUACAUGUCCCUGUUCUUCCCUCAGGAGUCCGGCAGUUGUCUCCUCCCUCACGAAACAUUACGGCAUCUGUUUGCAGCUCUGAUCCCCGAAUUCGAAUUAACGCGUGAAUUAAUGGGAUUUUUUUUGAUAAAAAUUAACUUCAUGUCUCUAAACAACAAUAUCAUUAAAAAUAAUUCAAUGCUUAGACUUACGUGCAUUUAAUUGCGCUGCAUUAGCCACUACGAUGACUACCAACACAUGAGAAAUCAUUUUUCAUCGGAUUUUUUUACAUUCGAUGGAAAGUAUAAAAUUAACUUGAUUCACAUGAAUUAUUUGUCUGCACUACACAGUCACGACGACUUAAAAUUAUUCCUAAUGUCUCGGCGCUAUCGAUAGUGUAAUAACCUUUGCAGUGAACUAUCAUCUUGCUUUAUUUCAAUUAUACGGCUGUCUCUAUCGUUCUUUGUUCAGCCGACGAUGACUGAAUUCAGUGAAAAAUACAUAAAAACAGUUCCAUAGCCUGGAAACACACUGAGUAGACAAUGCUCGCCUGUAUUCUGGCAGUCUGAUGGCCUUCGUACUCGCCCCACUUGUCGGUAAUUUUUUUUUCUCUCAGGAGAAAUGCUGAUUCAUUUGUUCAUCAAAUCAGUAAAAGGGAAUAAUUUGUAAUUAGAAUGCUCAUAACAGCACCGGAGAACGUGUGGAGUUUGGGAGAGGUUAACCUUGAGCCUGAUGUACAGGAUAUGUGUGAGCGGAUAUUUCACAGAAAAACACUGAUUUAAUUUUCUAGUUUGUCGUGUACCAUCAUUAUUUCUUUAUUUUCCAUUUACGAAAUGCCCGAAAUUUCUCAAAUAUAUUCAGAAGCCUCUAAAGCCUCAAACCAAGUCUCCAUCGUAGCCAAAUAAAUCCGCACUUCUCUCAUGAGGCUAAUAAAACAAUGAGACUUCGAUUGUUGUUGCUAAUACUCAGACAAACCCUAAUAUUUGGUCCACAUAUUGGGUGCCUCCAAAAAGUAUCGUUCCUCAAUUUUCCCCUAUUAAAUGAACAAUCUAAUCGUUGUAAAUCUCUCAGAAAAUAACGAAAAACACUCGGGUUGUUUUAGUGUUUAUGACCUAAACAGCUCAUGUGGACCGACUCCAUAGACAAACGAGGCAGACCUCUCACUCUGGACGAACCAAGGGCGAGGGACACUCUCAAACCGUGUCUCGAGUAAACCACAUCGGAUUAUCAAUCCAGCUAGAAUUAUAUCGAAUCCUGAUUAGAAAAUAAAUGUUAAAAAUUGAAUAAUGAUCUAGACAGGAAAUUAAAAAGAAGGAGACAUUUGGUUACAAUAAUUCUGCCAUUUUCCAAAACUCAUAUUCUCCAAAGGAAUUCUUCCUUAGAUUGAGUCCAAAUUACCCUACAAACCUUCAACACCUUUCAAGUUUAGGAGUCUCAGUGUAAUAAUAAAAUUACUCAUAAAAGGUAUCUCAUUUUCCCAAUUCUCCUUAUAUUAAAUUAAACUGUUUUUUCUUGGGAGUACAACAAGUUUUAAAUUAACAUGGUCUAAUUUGGGUUACAAGUGGGUGAGAAAAUCAUGUUUCACUUACAAGGAAUCAUUUUUUUUGGAAGGAAUGUCUGCCCAUACGUUCUCACAAAAUUAUGAGAAUUAAAAAAAAUUUGUCAGUAGUAACAUCACUACCCUGGUGGAUCGAUUGAUGGAGACUCGAUACAAGAUCGACUAGUGCACUCGGUCGAUCGCUGGUUGAUCACUGAAUCGAUGGUUACUCGACUGAUGAUCGAUCAUUGGUUGACGCCUGAAGGAUUAUUAGUCGAUAUGCUAGCCAAUCAUUGUUGAUCGUUAUUUGAUCGAUGAUCAAUCAAUCGAACUACUAUCGACUAGCACUCGACUGAGAGCUCCAAAUGUGGGGAAUAUUUUGACAUUAGCUCGAACAAGCGACCCAUUGUACACGUCACAGGGCAAUACGACAAACUCUUCGGCAGUUUAUGACCUAACAACCCAACACCUGGACAACCCAAUAGACAAAAGAGCCUCAGACCUCUUACCCUGGACGAUCCGAGGGCUAGAGUCACUGUCCAACGGUCUCUCCAGUAAACCACAUCGGAUUAUCAACCCAGCUAGAAUUAUAUCGAAUCGUUCCCUAAAUCGCAUAUGUUAAAAGCUGAAUAAAGAUCGUGUCGUAUAAUUAAAUAGUGGGAGAUAUUUAUUUUCCACGAAAAAUUAUUAGACAUUUUCAAUUUCACUGAGAAAAAUUUUUUGCAAAAACCAUUGUAAAUAAAUAUACCAACAUCAACGUAUUUUACGUAAAGACUCCAGUCAAUAUUGACAUUGAAGUACAUGUUCUGAUAUAUCUUUUAAUCCGGAGUAAUCCGAAAUUCUCUGAACCAUAACCACAAUACAAAGAACUUAAAAAAAAAAUUUAAUUUAAAAAUAUUUAACAAACAAAGUAAAAUUUUUUUUAGAAAUUAUGUUUGAUUUUUGAGUAGGUAACUAACUGGGCUUGUUUUCGGGAUCCAAAUUCUGAAAACAAUUCUACGUCAUAUACCACAUCCUAAAGUCCACAUAAGUUUUUACAUCCCUGGAUAACCCCACUCCACAUGAUUAGUACUUGUAACCAUUUCCCCCACUUCAAAAAUCUGAGGAAAAGUUAUGCUGACUUCAGCAUAUGUGCGGAGCAUUCAUGAUUAGGGAGAAUGAUUAUCAAUGAUCCGAGAUUUUCCGUUCGGUUGUGACCUCGAUUCUGACCUUUUGAUAAUGUGACGGAAUGGGUACAGAAUUUCCGGGUAAAUUCAUAUAGAUAAUAUCUGACUUAUGACGCAGCUUGGGUGAGAUAUCAUUACUCAAGGCACGAAUACGGAAAAUUAUUCUGAAAACCGUCAAUUGAGAAGGGAAAUACCGUUUUUCUAUGAAUCGUAUCAUUGGUUUUUCGUAUAUUUAUGAGCUACUUACCGAUGAAUAAACGUCUUUCGAAGGUGCGUUCAAUGAAUCACAGAAGUGAAUUGACAAGGAAAUUCGAACGGUUAAUUCAGUUGUCUUUUCUCUUAUAUAAGAUGGAUCAAGUUUCUAGUUUUAAAAUUAAUCUUGAGAGAUUUUUGGGAGAAUAUUAUAUGUUAUUUAUCCAUAUACAUUUUAAUAUAAUAUAUCAUAUAGUAAUGGAUAAUAAUUACAUUGAAUAAUGAACUCUACAUCAAUUCAAUUUAUUUAUAUUCCAUGCGGCAACUUCAAGUAUAAAUCUAAACUCGGUAAUAUAAAUUGAUAACAAAAAGGCCUACACUGUUUUGUUUAUUUUGUUUAUUUAAUCAAAGCCUUAAAAAUGCAGACAAACUCCAUACAUCUUGUUUCUAUAGAAACUUUUUGUUUAAGAUUCUUAAUAUUGUGAAGAAUAUUUUUCAUUCCAAAAUUGUUUGAUAUAAAUCAAAAUGGCUUCAAUGAACGCCUUAAACUAAUUAUGUUGUUGAUAAUUACUGAAUGCCAAUUUAUAUUUUUAUUUUUUUAGUUGGACUUUCCACUUUUCGGAUUCAUUGACUUUGAGGUAUACUUUUUUAUGCGAUGAAUACUUUGUUAUUCUAUCAAUUUGAGCAUUUAACUUAAAAAUAUCAAAUAAGUAUAGCCUUCAUAUUAUUGCUAUAAACUUCUCCUUGAAAUGGAAUUUUUUAACGAAUAAAAAAGAUGUAAAAAAAUUGAAACCACGCAGGGAUUUUUUUCUGACGUCUUCCGUUGACUUUCUAGGUAAAUAAAGAACAUGUAUUAUACUUUACAAAAAUCCCACAUGACAUUCUAUGGGAAAUACCCAUUACUCGCAUAGAUGGUCAAUAAUCAAGAAAUCCCCACUCCGCUGCGACCUUGAUUCGAGACUCGUAUGUACCUAGCUCCUGUACAUUAUAUAAUAUAUACUAUAUUAUAUAAUAUAUAGCCUGUAACGUAUAACUUAGUAACUGGAAAAAUGAACAUUUUUCAAUUAUUCCAGUUCCGCAUUUUCGGUUACAAUUUUGUUGCAAACAACGCGUAGAAAAUUCUUAAUAAUAAUUUAUUUACUGAGUUUCGAGGAAAUUGAAAUGAUAUUCAAUUUUUAAAAGACUGAUCUGAAUACAUACACUACUUUACAUCAAAUACGAUUUCCGAAUUUUGCUGUUUAACGUAGAAAAAAAAUUCGCUGUACAAAAUCUUCAAUUCGCAGAAUAAUCUGCAAUCUGUGAAACGUAACUUCAUUUCACCGAUUUUCCGAUAUAAUGGACAUUUCCAAGAAAAACAUUAUGAGAUAUUUUUCACUACAAUUGCAUAUUUACAUUUACAUUAGAUCUAUCAUUUUUAUUUUCCUGAUUUUCAUCAAACCCUAUUAGCCCUUAAUUUAUCUUUAGAAUCUCUUUAGAACAUUUCACACCUUUUUGGUCCAAAUUAUUUAAUAUUUAUUAAUUUUGCGAUUUGUAUUAUUAUUUCC